GACGAACGCUGGCGGCGUGCUUAACACAUGCAAGUCGAACGGUAAGGCCCCUUCGGGGGUACACGAGUGGCGAACGGGUGAGUAACACGUGAGCAACCUGCCCUUGACUCUGGAAUAACAGUUGGAAACAGCUGCUAAUACUGGAUAUUCAUCGUCCCCUUCCUGGGGGGUGGUGGAAAGCUCCGGCGGUCAGGGAUGGGCUCGCGGCCUAUCAGCUUGUUGGUGAGGUAAUGACUCACCAAGGCUUCGACGGGUAGCCGGCCUGAGAGGGCGACCGGCCACACUGGGACUGAGAUACGGCCCAGACUCCUACGGGAGGCAGCAGUGGGGAAUAUUGCACAAUGGGCGCAAGCCUGAUGCAGCAACGCCGCGUGCGGGAUGACGGCCUUCGGGUUGUAAACCGCUUUCAGUAGGGACGAAGGGUGACUGACGGUACCUACAGAAGAAGGACCGGCUAACUACGUG
rnacentral:rRNA from 1 species